rnacentral:piRNA from 1 species
UGCCAUGUAAAUGCCUGCCGUUGUCCU